rnacentral:rRNA from 1 species
CUACGGGACGCACCAGUGAGGAAUAUUGCACAAUGGGGGGAACCCUGAUGCAGCAACGCCGCGUGGAGGAUGACGCAUUUCGGUGUGUAAACUCCUUUUAUAUGUCAAGAAAAUGACGGUAGCAUAUGAAUAAGCACCGGCUAACUCCGUGCCAGCAGCCGCGGUAAUACGGAGGGUGCAAGCGUUACUCGGAAUCACUGGGCGUAAAGGGCAAGUAGGCGGCUUAAUAAGCGAGGGGUGAAAUCUUCCGACUCAAUCGGAAAACUGCCUUUCGAACUAUUAGACUUGAGGCAGGAAGAGGGAAAUGGAAUUUCCGGUGUAAGGGUGAAAUCUGUAGAUAUCGGAAAGAACACCAACGGCGAAGGCAAUUUCCUGGUCCUGUCCUGACGCUAAAUUGCGAAAGCUAGGGUAGCAAACAGGAUUAGAUACCCCUGUAGUC